UACGAAGGGGGCUAGCGUUGUUCGGAAUCACUGGGCGUAAAGCGCACGUAGGCGGAUGGUUAAGUCAGAGGUGAAAGCCUGGAGCUCAACUCCAGAACUGCCUUUGAUACUGGCCAUCUCGAGUCCGGAAGAGGUAAGUGGAACUGCGAGUGUAGAGGUGAAAUGCGUAGAUAUCGGGAGGAACACCAGUGGCGAAGGCGACUACCUGGCCUGUUCUUGACGCUGAGGCGCGAAAGCUAGGGGAGCAAACGGG
rnacentral:rRNA from 1 species